rnacentral:rRNA from 1 species
GGACCCGCACAAGCGGUGGAGUAUGUGGUUUAAUUCGAUGCAACACGAAGAACCUUACCAGGGUUUGAAAUCAUUUCAAAACUCCUUGAAAGAGGAGCCUCCUUCGGGAUGAAAUGACAGGUGGUGCAUGGCUGUCGUCAGCUCGUGUUGUGAAAAUGUCGAGUUAAGUCUCGUAACGAGCGCAACCCAUGUCUCUUGUUGCUCACUGAGUGCUUAAGAGAGACUGCCGACCAAACAUCGGAGGAAGGUGUGGAUGAUGUCAAGUCAGCAUGCCCCUUACAUCCUGGGCUACACACGUACUACAAUGGUAGGACAAUGAGCUGCGAUCCUGCGAAGGCUAGCC